rnacentral:rRNA from 1 species
AUUGAACGCUGGCGGCAGGCCUAACACAUGCAAGUCGAGCGGUAGCACAGAGAGCUUGCUCUCGGGUGACGAGCGGCGGACGGGUGAGUAAUGUCUGGGAAACUGCCUGAUGGAGGGGGAUAACUACUGGAAACGGUAGCUAAUACCGCAUAAUGUCGCAAGACCAAAGUGGGGGACCUUCGGGCCUCAUGCCAUCAGAUGUGCCCAGAUGGGAUUAGCUAGUAGGUGGGGUAACGGCUCACCUAGGCGACGAUCCCUAGCUGGUCUGAGAGGAUGACCAGCCACACUGGAACUGAGACACGGUCCAGACUCCUACGGGAGGCAGCAGUGGGGAAUAUUGCACAAUGGGCGCAAGCCUGAUGCAGCCAUGCCGCGUGUGUGAAGAAGGCCUUCGGGUUGUAAAGCACUUUCAGCGGGGAGGAAGGCGUUAAGGUUAAUAACCUUGGCGAUUGACGUUACCCGCAGAAGAAGCACCGGCUAACUCCGUGCCAGCCGCCGCGGUAA